rnacentral:rRNA from 1 species
UACGUAGGCAGCGAGCGUUGUUCGGAUUUACUGGGCGUAAAGAGUGUGUAGGCGGUGCUGUAAGUUCGUUGUGAAAUCUCCCGGCUUAACUGGGAGGGUGCGGCGGAAACUGCAGUGCUUGAGGAUGGGAGAGGUAAGCGGAAUUCCUGGUGUAGCGGUGAAAUGCGUAGAUAUCAGGAGGAACACCUGUGGUGUAGACAGCUUACUGGACCAUAUCUGACGCUGAGACACGAAAGCGUGGGUAGCAAACAGG